GGAAGAAGCCGCGUGCUGAGAGCUCUUUGCUUUGGUUUCUUCUCUUGGUGUUGCAACUUUCGUCUGUUUUACCAAAACAUUUUCUUGUCUGUUCUGCAGAUCGGUACAGGUGUGGGAGUGUUUCCUCAUUGCCCAGGGCCCCUCCGUCUGCCCUACCACAUGGGGCAGAAUAUACCAGGCUUUCCUCCUCCUCCUCCAGCUCCACACUGGGGUCCUGGGGGCCUCGGCCCCAUCGCGUUUCUCCACCACACGGGCUUCCUUCCCAUUCAAAAGCCUGUGGAGCUCAAGGGGACAAUAGCAGCACCAUGCCCAAGAAGGUCCCAGAGGAGAACCAAAAUGAGCAAAUCAUCAAACGAGAGUCACAACCAUACCUUCCACCAUCUUGGAUAGAUCUCCUGUUGUUUGCUUCUUUUGCAGUCCAAUGAUAUCAGCUAGAAAAUUAGAUGAUGGUGGUGGCAAGCGGAAUUUCUGAAUAACAGAAUGAAUGAAACAUGAUUCAUGCUCUCCAGAUCAUUCUACUAAGAGAAAAGAAAUACAGAAUGGAGAGAGAUUACAAGUAGGCAGAGAGGCAGGCAGAGAGAGA